CCUGACUGCUAUCGGAUUGAUACUAAGCCAUGCGAGUCUUUGUAGUAAUACAAGGCAGACGGCUCAGUAACGCGUAGUCAACCUACCCUAUGGACGGGAAUAAUCUCGGGAAACUGAGCAUAAUACCCGGCGUACCACCAUUCCUGGAAUGGUUGGUGGUUAAAAUGAUUCGUCGCCGUAGGAUGGGACUGCGACCUAUCAGCUUGUUGGUGAGGUAAAGGCCCACCAAGGCGAUUACAGGUACGGGCUCUGAGAGGAGAAGCCCGGAGAUGGGUACUGAGACACGGACCCAGGCCCUAUGGGGCGCAGCAGGCGAGAAAACUUUGCAAUGUGCGAAAGCACGACAAGGUUAAUCCGAGUGAUUUCUGCUAAAGGAAUCUUUUGCCAGUUCUAAAAAUACUAGUGAAUAAGGGGUGGGCAAGUUCUGGUGUCAGCCGCCGCGGUAAAACCAGCACCUCAAGUGGUCAGGAGGAUUAUUGGGCCUAAAGCAUCCGUAGCCUGCUCUGUAAGUUUUCGGUUAAAUCUAUAUGCUCAACGUAUAGGCCGCCGAAAAUACUGCAGUGCUAGGAAGUGGGAGAGGUAGACGGUACUUGAUGGGAAGGGGUAAAAUCCUUUGAUCUAUCGAUGACCACCUGUGGCGAAGGCGGUCUACCAGAACACGUUCGACGGUGAGGGAUGAAAGCUGGGGGAGCAAACCGGAUUAGAUACCCGGGUAGUCCCAGCUGUAAACGAUGCAGACUCGAUGAUGCAUUGGCAUAUAGCCAGUGCAGUGUCGCAGGGAAGCCGUUAAGUCUGCCGCCUGGGAAGUACGUACGCAAGUAUGAAACUUAAAGGAAUUGGCGGGGGAGCACCACAAGGGGUGAAGCCUGCGGUUC
rnacentral:rRNA from 1 species